GCGUGCUUAACACAUGCAAGUCGAGCGGUAAGGCCUUUCGGGGUACACGAGCGGCGAACGGGUGAGUAACACGUGGGUGAUCUGCCCUGCACUUCGGGAUAAGCCUGGGAAACUGGGUCUAAUACCGGAUAUGACCUCAGGUUGCAUGACUUGGGGUGGAAAGAUUUAUCGGUGCAGGAUGGGCCCGCGGCCUAUCAGCUUGUUGGUGGGGUAAUGGCCUACCAAGGCGACGACGGGUAGCCGACCUGAGAGGGUGACCGGCCACACUGGGACUGAGACACGGCCCAGACUCCUACGGGAGGCAGCAGUGGGGAAUAUUGCACAAUGGGCGAAAGCCUGAUGCAGCGACGCCGCGUGAGGGAUGACGGCCUUCGGGUUGUAAACCUCUUUCAGCAGGGACGAAGCGCAAGUGACGGUACCUGCAGAAGAAGCACCGGCUAACUACGUGCCAGCAGCCGCGGUAAUACGUAGGGUGCAAGCGUUGUCCGGAAUUACUGGGCGUAAAGAGUUCGUAGGCGGUUUGUCGCGUCGUUUGUGAAAACCAGCAGCUCAACUGCUGGCUUGCAGGCGAUACGGGCAGACUUGAGUACUGCAGGGGAGACUGGAAUUCCUGGUGUAGCGGUGAAAUGCGCAGAUAUCAGGAGGAACACCGGUGGCGAAGGCGGGUCUCUGGGCAGUAACUGACGCUGAGGAACGAAAGCGUGGGUAGCGAACAGGAUUAGAUACCCUGGUAGUCCACGCCGUAAACGGUGGGC
rnacentral:rRNA from 1 species